rfam:Nomascus leucogenys chromosome 10, whole genome shotgun sequence.
GCUAGGCGUGGUGGCGCGUGCCUGUAGUCCCAGCUACUCAGGAGGCUGAGGUAGGAGAAUCGCUUGGACCAGGGAGUUGGAGGUUGCAGUGAGCCGAGAUCGCGCCACUGCACUCCAGCCUGGUGACAGAGCGAGAUUCUGUCUCAA